GAGUUUGAUCCUGGCUCAGAACGAACGCUGGCGGCAGGCCUAACACAUGCAAGUCGAACGAAGUCUUCGGACUUAGUGGCAGACGGGUGAGUAACGCGUGGGAACCUACCUGGAGGUUCGGAAUAACUCGGGGAAACUCGGGCUAAUACCGGAUACGCCCUUACGGGGAAAGAUUUAUCGCCUUUAGAUGGGCCCGCGUUGGAUUAGCUUGUUGGUGAGGUAAAAGCUCACCAAGGCGACGAUCCAUAGCUGGUCUGAGAGGAUGAUCAGCCACACUGGGACUGAGACACGGCCCAGACUCCUACGGGAGGCAGCAGUGAGGAAUAUUCGGCAAUGGGCGCAAGCCUGACCGAGCCAUGCCGCGUGAGUGAAGAAGGCCCUAGGGUUGUAAAGCUCUUUCACCGAUGAAGAUAAUGACGGUAGUCGGAGAAGAAGCCCCGGCUAACUUCGUGCCAGCAGCCGCGGUAAUACGAAGGGGGCUAGCGUUGUUCGGAAUCACUGGGCGUAAAGCGCACGUAGGCGGAUUGUUUAGUCAGGGGGUGGAAAUCCCGGGGGGCUCAACCCCGGAACUGCCUCUGAUACUGGCAAUCUCGAAGUUCGAAGAGAGGGUGAGUG
rnacentral:rRNA from 1 species